UGCAGGAAUGGUGCAAGUCCCCAACCUGGCUGCGCGCUCUGCGCCCGACACCUCCGCCCUGUCCCGGAGCCAUCGGCGCUCCCCGGCCCCAUCACGUGUCGGGGCUGGGACGGGACCGGCUCUGCCCUGCCCGCCGAGCUCGGGGCUGCGAGGGGGCUGUGCUGGGGCCGGCGAAUCCCGCUCCCGGCUGGAUCCCAGCCCGAUCCCGGCCCGCUCCCGGCCCUGCUCCCAGCCCCGGCCCGGCCCGGCCCGGCCCGCUCCGCUCGCUGCCGGCGGGGACGGCCCCGAGCCCGCGGGGUUCGCUGCGCUCCGCGGGAAGGCUGAGCAAUGUCUCCCGCUAACUACAUCCAGAUGUGCCUGCUUGGCAGCCCGCUGCACAGACAUUACCGAGGGGACGCAGGAUCGGCGCUAUCAAAUGGGAUUUGAAGAACUGAUCAAAUAAGACAGAAGAUCUCCAGGAAAAGUAUGGCCAGUGGUGCCAGGCAGCUCAAACACAGCUUUUAACAGUCCCAGGAACACUGGAGAGACAAUGAGAGUUCGCCUCAAAGGGGAUGUGAUCUGUACCCUCUUCUUGCUGGUGGCGCUUUGUUCUUUGCUCUACUCCCAGCUGGAACAUUUAGUCCCGGCAGGAAAGAAGAAGCCAGCACAGAACAAGCCUCGAGUAGCACCAAAAGUAUUCUCUGAUCUCAAAGCACCUCAGAGGCUGAUGCCAGCAGAGGCAACUGCACCCAGACCCCAAGUUACCCCUGCCAUGAGACAAACAGAAGUGGCCAAAACCAGGGUGCAAACUACAUCUCCACCCCCGCUGACCGAUUCUGCCUUCAACUUCAAGCUCUAUCUCCUAAACAAGGAUAACAGGAACUUCAAUCUCCUCAUUAACCAGCCCAGGAAAUGCCGAAAAACACCGGCAGGUCCCUUUCUGCUCAUUGCUAUCAAAUCGAUAGUUGAAGACUUUGACAGGCGUGAGAUUGUCCGGAAAACUUGGGGCAGGGAGGGUUUGGUGAAUGGGGAGCAGAUCCAGCGAGUGUUCCUGCUGGGAACACCAAAGAAUAGGACAGUGCUGGCAACAUGGGAGACCCUGAUGCAGCAGGAGAGUCAGACAUACCGGGACAUUUUACUCUGGGACUUCAUGGACACUUUCUUCAACCUGACCCUGAAGGAGAUCCACUUCCUGAGCUGGGCUGCUGAAUUCUGCCACAAUGUGAAAUUUAUUUUUAAAGGUGACGCUGAUGUUUUUGUCAACGUUGAGAACAUUGUUGAUUUCCUCAAGAGACACGAUCCCACUGAAGAUCUCUUUGUUGGGGACAUCAUCUACAAUGCCCGUCCCAUCCGUGUGCAGAAGAGCAAAUACUACAUCCCAGAGACCAUGUACGGGCUGAGCAUCUACCCCGCCUAUGCCGGAGGAGGAGGGUUCUUGCUGUCCGGCUGCACCAUGAGGAAGCUCUCUAGGGCUUGCAGGGAGGUGGAGCUGUUCCCCAUUGAUGAUGUCUUUUUGGGCAUGUGCUUACAGAGAAUCAACCUCAAGCCCAUUUUACAUGAAGGAUUCAAGACCUUUGGCAUUGUUAAGCCUUCUGCUGCCCCACACCUACAGACGUUCGAUCCCUGUUUUUACAAAGAUCUCAUGGUAGUUCAUAGCCUGAAGGUUGCUGAGAUCUGGCUAAUGUGGAACCUGCUCCACAGCCCACGGCUUUCCUGUACUCAGAAGAAGCAGGUGAAGAAGCCUUUCCAAUGGAAGAAGAAAGCUCAGAUAACACCAGCAUCACCACCCUGAUAAUGCAGAGCACAGCACACACAGCAAACCAGCCAAGAAGGGAGCCUGGAAAUGAUACAGCCCAACAAACCAACUUUCCAAGUGUUUUUUAGCACGUCUUAUUUACAACAUUAGGAGAAGACAACAAACAAUGGCAGGAAUUUGUCCAAAUUCCACAUCUGCACAUACAUAUCAUGUGGGUCUUUCUGUACUAAUGAGUCCAAAUAAUCAUAACAUAUAUAUAAUUUAUUAUUAUUUAUUAGGAUUAUAGUAGUGCUUAGUGGGACAGUGUGUAAAAGCACAUUGAAAAAUGCAGUCCUUGGACAUUUUUCAGCAUGGUUAGAAGUGUGAGAAAUGAAGGAAGACAUAAGGUAAGAACAGACAUCAGGGAGCACAGGGAUCAUUGUCAACUUGCUACUUGACUUGGACUCAUUGAAAAAUGACCAGACAGUAACUAGGGUACAGGAAACUGAGUCCCCUUAGUGUCCGCUCAGAUCACAUCACUGCUGCCUGGUUGGUUUUCCACAGGCCUUGUAAGAAGAGAACAACAAACAGCUGUUGAAAAGGGGUCCUACAGUUGCAGUUCAGGUGGAUUACAAGAAAUCAAACUGGAUGCUGAGGCUGGCAUGGCUGGUGGAGCAAAGGACAGCAGGUUUCCAGAAGCAAACCUCAGCUGCAAACUCAAACAGUACAAAAUAAUCAAACGGCUCAGAGAACCUUCACUAAAUAUCAGCACUGAGAACAUUCCCUGGGGAGUGCUGAAAGACCAUCAGAUCAGAGAGAAAAAGAAGUCUAUCCCAAAGCCCAGCAUGAAAACCUGCUGAUCUCCUGAGCUGUACCUCUUCCAGCUGGACUUGCAAGUCUCAGCAGCUCAGAAAAUCAGCCCACCACAUUUCCUAAUGAUGCUACUAACUGCAGUGGCAGUUUUAAAAACCAGUAAAACUUUUAAAUACAAUUUUUCAUUGCUUUUAUGAUCAGUAAGAAAACCAUACUGAGGAAUGAGAGGGGAAAGUAAAGAGGAAAGUAAAACCAAAGGAGGAGCACAACUGAGUCCCUCCAGGAGUGGCAAACAGCUCCCCCACCAUUCCUGGCCAGCCCAAGGCUCUCUCCAAACCAUUCAGACUCAGCUCAGGGAUCUUCUCUCUCCCCCGCCUUUCCCAGCCCAUCUGUUGACGAUCCAUGAGCUAAAACCUUGGAAAAAACCUAACACAGGUUUGCAGUGACAGCCUUGUCCCAGGGGGGUGCCUGAGUUGGGUGGGAAUCAAGGUGUGACAAGAAGACAACUGGUGUCUACAGCCAGAAAAGCAGAAAAGGGUGGAAUAAUCUCUGUAACCUCCCUACUGUGGAUGCAGCAGAGCUUACCCAGCAAGGGACAGGGUAAAUUCAGAAUUUCAGGGCUGCAGUUUUUCUGAGAUGAGCUGAGGGGAAAAGGGAAUACAGCAAAUCAGGCUGGUUUGAUUAUUUAGUUGAUUAGAUUGCACAUUGCAUAAUCAUGCAGGGUUUUUUCUGAUUGGUAUUUAAACUAAAUGCCUCUCUGAAGGAUAAGAUAAUGAAACUUAUGCACUCAGUGGAAUAUAUAUAUAUAUAUAUAUAUAUAUAUAUAUAUAUGUAUAUAUAUAUAUGUAUAUAGUGUAGGUGUAAAGCAUUAAGGCACUUAAAGCCAGCUUCCAGAAUUGGAAUAUGCAGUACUUCAAAAUAACUAAAGGAGUGAAAUUUAAAGAGAGAUUCAUUAAUGUAUGAAAAAGAUUACAUUAAACCAUUACUCCAGAACAAAAGUUACUGUAAUAAUGGUCUCUUACACCAGAGUGAAUGCCCUGCCCUGCAAACUCCAGCUUACCUUUCCUGCUGUUUCAAGCACUCAUGUUUUCCAGAUGAUGAGGAUAAAUUAUUUCACCUGCUGGAAAAACAGACAUCCCCACAUACACCACAAGAGCUUGGGAUGUUGGCAGAUAAAUAUUUUAACAGCAUCUUUAUUAGUCACAGCACAAAUUCACAUAGGCAAAGAAUAUGGUAUUUAAGUUACACCUUAAGUACUUACUUGAGCCCCCAAAUAACACAUACACUCCCCCCCAAAAAAUCCUUCAUGAGCUCUGCUUCAUUGAGCCUGUUUUUAAUGCUUAACAGUUGCAUCUCCAGUGAGCUCCAUUUUCCAUUUCCCCUUGUUUUACUUCAGCCUUAUCCUCUCUCUGACACAACCUGGUUCAUGCUUCACAUGAAAAGAACCACCAGAACUAACCAGGAUUUGAACAGCACACACAGUGAGGUAUUUCUUUGGCUCCAUGUGCUGUGGCAGAUUGUGGCUGACAGAGUCAGGCAGAGAGGAGGGGGCUUUGCACUGGUGUAAUCAAGGUUUUAAAAAAAGGUGUUUAUCAGGCAAAAGGUGGCACAGAACAAUUGUAACUAGCAUGGAAUAAUGUUUCUUGCAUCAUAACAUCAAAAAAUAUACUGAACACAACCAGCCUAUGUGAAAUUGUGCCAAAUCAGACAACUUGGUCUUUGCCCAAAUACUCUGGAGAAAGGAUGAAGAGAGGGUUUGGACAUAACAUUUCUAAGAGCCACACUGACUCACACAGAUUUACUUUCAAUGUACAUUUUGAGCCACCAAACACAACAACACAAUAGAAGUUCUGGCUUAGGGUAGUUAAGUGACUAACAGGUUCUAACAGCAGGUAGAAAGUCAGUGUGAAGGGGGCAGCACCACCCACAAUUUCCCUCUGGAAAACAGCAGCUGGCCCCUAAUCUCCAGCCAGCCCCAAAGCAAUGAUGAAUCACCAUCUACUUGUAGAGCUGAAAGAUUUUGUUUUAAACAGGUUGGAUGGGAGCUCUGGAAUUUGAAUGAUCAUGAUCACAUGAAUAAGUUCUAACACACCAUAUGAUUAGUCUUUCAGGGAAAAAAAAAAAUCUGUUUAGAAUUAAAAAUGUGGCAGUUCUUGGCAAGAGAAGAUUGCUUUUCCUUGUCAGGAAUUGCAAUUUGGGGAACAGAGGGUUCUAGUAUUACACAGCAGCACUUAUCUAUACAGCACUGCCUGAAGCCAUCACAGGACCCCAGGGACUGCUUGAAGGCCUGGAAAAUAGGUGAAGAAAUGUCAGCUUCACCUCCUUAGAGAAGGGCACAGCAAUCAGUUUUAUUAAUUGUAAACAAAUGAAAUACUGUGGACAGUACUGCAAUUUAAGCACACACACAAACUCCUGACCUCUUUACAAAGGAAAACAGCACACAUCAGAAGGAGAUCAUAUGCACUACAUGUUUUAUUAAAAAUGCAAUUUUACUUUAUAUCAAACAGUUUUAUCAUAUGAAACCAAAAUAGUGGAUCAAUGCACAUGUUGCCAACAUGCAGGAUCUGUAUCAAACCACAUAGGAUUAUCACAAGGAACAAGGCCACCUGGCAAAAUGGGAUCUGAUGCCCAAAUCUCUCAGUUCCUUUGGAGGGGGAGGCAGAGCUGGCCCCCUGCUCCCCCUGAGCAGCCCUUUGCCCAGAAGAGCUCUUGGUUCAGAGAAACUGCCUCAUCUCAGCCUCCCUUCCUGCCACACUGCCAUCCUUGCCUUGUCCCCCAGAGCUCCUCCACUCCUUCCUCUCUUCUUUCUGAUUCAAACCCACCAUCAGUUCCCUCUACCCAUGGCUGAACUUCUCAUGGCAGCAAGUCCUUAAGUCCUUAAAUGCUCCACAACGCUUCUCUAAUGCAUCAGCUCAGGAACAGCUUGGCUUGGCUUAGUCCAAAAAGGAGCAAACAAAUCAAAACAUCUCAGACAAGAGGGUUGUGAACAGCUGCAUUCACAAAGGGUGGGUGAGGAAAUCCAUAAAAGCAGCUCCACAUUCUCCCUCCUGGUGCUUCUUCACACCUGCCUCUCCCAAAAGUCAAAUGCUUUGAGCUCAGCCCAGCAGCAACAGCCAAGAUGCAAAACUGCCUUUAAUUUUUUGUCUGUGCAGAGAAUUUUUCAAUAUCAAGGGGCUGACCUAGAGAAGUAUAUGGGUUGUUAAGAGAGAACUGUUAAUUACCAAUACUAUUUAAGCCACUAGAUCUCACCAGAGCAUUACAAGUGAAGCUGGGAGCCACUGUAGUUAUUAAACACCACAGAUUAGCUGCUGCUCCUGUCCUAAGUCUCAGGGCUCAUGCUACAGCAGCAGGCCUGACCUCACUCUUAAGUUGAAGAAAUUCAACUCAAUAUGCUUGAGGAGGAUAUUGGUGGCAUUGCCAUAGCCAUUACUCAAACCAUCCCAUCAAGGAUUUAUCUCCUCUUGCAGCUUCUCUGCAGCCUCUAUUAGAAAAGGAUGGAUUAAAAUUAAUUGAAGUUAGCAUCAGGACUGCUGUCACGUUUUAGUAACAAGAAUCAGCAUGCACAGCACCUCAGCUGAGAGACCAUAAAACUGUGUGCGAGCACACUGAGGCGAGCAGCAGGCAGGGUCAGUGUGCACUGCAGCACUGAGGGAGGCUGCAGGAGGAGGCUGAGAGCUCUGCCUGCCCGCACAGCAGUGCAGGAGUCCCCUGCCCUAUGCCCUGCAUUCACCUUGAGCUGCUUCGGGGCAGGAGACUCCCAAAGCUUUUCUGGGAAGUCGCUUGGGGCACACGAACGCAGUAGGAGAACUCACAUUUGCAGCUUUCACUGCAGGCAUUUCCUCCUUUCUGCUGUGCAAUAUUCCCCCUCUUCAAAGCUCAAUUGAUUUCCAUGAUCCCCAAGGCCCACAGAAACGUAACAACCUCAUUUCUGAACACAAUGCAGAGCCCACAGUGCUACUGACCACACUUUACAGACUUCUCCACUUCAGGGCAGAACCUUACAAGUAUCUAUCAAGUUAUGUUAGUUACUGUUUCUUUGGAGAACAUACUGAACUGGCUAUAAAGUCACUAUACACUCAUCAGGUACUUCAAAUACAAAGUCUGAAAACCAGUAAAAUAAAAAGAACUAAUUAAUAAGAAAAUAAAAAGCAAGAACAUCCAUGAUUUUAUUACAAAAACACCCAGCAACUGUAUUUAACACAAAAACAGUAACUGAGAGUCUCUUUUUAUUUUUCUUUCAGUGUACAUGCUCAUUAUUAUUCCAUUUAAUUUACAGAAGGGCUAUGUAAAAUGAAAUUAAAAUUAGAGAGGAAACAAAAAGGAAGAUUGAGGCAUAGAAUUUUCUUAGCAAGCAACGAUCACAGGAGACAGCACAGAUUGAACAGGGAUUCAACAGGAGUGACACCUAGGGAUAAAGGUAAACAGUAACUUUUUCCUUAUCCAUUAGAUUCUCCAUGGGGCUUUUUUGUUUGUUUUAGCAAAACAGUUGAGAGUAUCACAGUAUACAGGAAGACUAAAUGGCAAAGAAUGUCUCGCACACACACACAUUUAUCCCUGCUACUGGUCCAGGAUCCCAAACUUCACUUAACAUUCGAUUUCCUAUCUCUCAUUCAUUGAUAAACUAUACAGGAUUACACUGUACAUGGAGUUAGAAUUACAAAAAUGUCAUAUUUACAAAAAUCUGUACACACAUAGUAAAACUCACAAAAUUGUCAUCUAUGUAUCACAAGUUGCGACACCAAAAUAUUAAAAAUGGGAUAAAAUUAUACAUUUCUCUUGUCCAUUUUUAAAAAGGGUUCAUUAUUUCAAAGACAGACCACCUAUUUCUCCCAAAUAAGACUGGUAAGAGAACUAGAAACCUAAAGUAUCCUCCUGGGAUAAAAUGUUGCGAGCAGCAUCUCCCAACUAGAAAGAAGCCUAUAUCCGGUCUGCUGGGGUGGGGUGUGCAGUUAGCAUAUAUGUACAGAAACAGUGAAACUACAACGAGGAUGUCUUUGGCUAAACCUUUGGCAUAAAUUAAAAUCAUACAUCAAAAGUUACAGAAAAGGUUAUAUUGGUGAUGGCGGAAUUCCAGAAUUUCUUUCUGAGAUACCAUUAUAUACAGCUUUUCUUUCUCUCUGAGGAAAUAGAGUAGGAAUAAAGGAUUUUGGAACAGAGGCAAAUGAGGCAACAUUAUUUCUUCGUUAAAUUUUUCACUAGUAUGAAAAAUUGUAUCAAAUCUUUUCAUUAAAACAUAAUUCAAUCAUAGAAAUAACCCCUUCCAGAAUUUUUUCUUUCGAAAUUGCAUAUGAAAAAAAUUAGUAAACCAGCCAUGACAGAAAAAAAUUGUAUCAGCAUAUCAAGUACAUAUUAGUGCAGGAAGGUGGAUAAAUUUGAUCCACUGUAUAAAUAAGCUUUAUGCGCAGUGUACAUUAAAUAACCACCACACCCCACUCUCACCCAGUACACAGAUGCUCCUCAGUG